GGUGAGAUGGGUGAGUUGGUUUAAACCAUCGGUUUGCUAAACCGACGUACGGUUGAAAAGCCGUACCGAGGGUUCGAAUCCCUCUCUCACCGCCA
rnacentral:tRNA from 1 species